rfam:Populus trichocarpa scaffold_1_contig_384, whole genome shotgun sequence.
GUGGAAAUUUGAUGUUGGCAGAGCUCAAUCAAAUCAAAGCACUCAAUGGUUGGGUUCUUUCAUCUGAUUGAGCCGUGCCAAUAUCGCAUUAAAUCUC